UACGUAGGCAGCGAGCGUUGUUCGGAAUUACUGGGCGUAAAGAGUGUGUAGGCGGUGCUCUAAGUUUGGUGUGAAAUCUCCCGGCUCAACUGGGAGGGUGCAUCGAAAACUGGAGUGCUCGAGGGUGGGAGAGGUAAGCGGAAUUCCUGGUGUAGCGGUGAAAUGCGUAGAUAUCAGGAGGAACACCUGUGGUGUAGACAGCUUACUGGACCACUUCUGACGCUGAGACACGAAAGCGUGGGGAGCAAACAGG
rnacentral:rRNA from 1 species